rnacentral:rRNA from 1 species
UAGCAACUUUCACCAGUGGAUGUCUAGGCUCGCACAUCGAUGAAGAACGCUGCGAACUGCGAUACGUAAUGCGAAUUGCAGGAUUCAGUGAGUCAUCGAAAUUUUGAACGCAUAUUGCACUUCCGGGUUAGUCCUGGAAGUAUGCCUGUAUCAGUGUCCGUA